UUUCUUCUUUAUUUCACCUUGAUAUGAAUUCAUUACGAUACAAUCCCCCGGAUUAAAUUCUUAGUGUGACAGGUGCGAAUCGCUUUGCAAUGCCAAAGUCUGUGUUCGUAUAAAUUAUGACGUGCUUAUUUGCCCUGUAUGCCUCUGCCUUCCAUCCUAACAUCAUUAUCUGGCUUCGGCUUAAAGCAAAAACUAUUUAAUUGUAUUAAACACUUAAAAUGGAAGGUUUUCAUAGAAACACACGGGAAUGGCUAGAUCAAAUCCACUGGUAAUGAUGACCCCACCUUUAAAUCAGUACAAAAAGCUCUGGAACUUCGUUUGGUAUAGGUUUGGUGAAUUAUUACCCGUAGUUACAGGACGCAACUUCAUGGGUAUGAGAUUGUACUUCAUUGCCAUUGACAGUACCGGUGCUCUCAUCGUUCAGCUAACAUACAAACGCAUUUCUGGUUGAAAACUACU